UGUAUGUGUCAAUAAACAUCUGUAGGCCUAUGUGUCAAUAAAAAUCCGUAUCAAUAAACAUCUGUAUGUGCCAAUAAACAUAUGUGUGUGUUAAUAAACAUCUGUAUGGGUUAUUAACAAUGCCGAACUAUUUUAAUAUGUACAUAUUGAUAAACUAAACAAGCAAAAUAUUUAUUUAAAAUAAGAACCUUUUUAUAAAAACAAAGCUUAUACAACAGAAAAAAAAUAUUGUCAUAUAUCUCAAUACUGCAAGAUUAUUUUUUUUUCUAUUUAAAACUAGAUUGAUUACUAACACUAAUUAAUUGUUUUAAUUGAUUCAUGCGUUGUCAUCGAUUAUAAUAAUUGUGCUAAGUUUUAACAUGAUCCGAGAUUGGGAAAUGGGAGAAAUAUCGUGUAAAAGACUCCUCCAAGACCUACAGACGGAGUGAGUUCAUAGAAAGUUUGUAAAUAAAAGUCACUUUGUUCAAAAGAAAAUUAAAGGCGAAUUAAUAAAAAAAAAAUACUUAGUACAGUAAAAUUGAAAAAAAAAAUCGAAACAUCA